GAUGAACGCUGGCGGCGUGCCUAACACAUGCAAGUCGAGCGGCAGCGAGGGGUACUUGCACCCUGUCGGCGAGCGGCGGACGGCUGAGUAACGCGUGGGAACGUGCCCCAAAGUGAGGAAUAACUGCCCGAAAGGGUAGCUAAUACCGCAUAUUAUCUUCGGAUCAAAGGAUUUAUCCGCUUUGGGAGCGGCUCGCGUCGGAUUAGGUAGUUGGUGAGGUAAUGGCUCACCAAGCCGACGAUCCGUAGCUGGUCUGAGAGGAUGACCAGCCAGACUGGAACUGAGACACGGUCCAGACUCAUACGGGAGGCAGCAGUGAGGAAUCUUCCACAAUGGGCGAAAGCCUGAUGGAGCAACGCCGCGUGCAGGACGAAGGCCUUCGGGUUGUAAACUGCUUUUAUAAGUGAGGAAUAUGACGGUAACUUAUGAAUAAGGAUCGGCUAACUACGUG
rnacentral:rRNA from 1 species